rnacentral:sRNA from 1 species
GUGUUGAGCUCUUCUCUUCUUGGGGGUGGUGGGGGUGAGGUGGUGAGAAGACCCCAGGUCUUUGAGCAAGUGGUGGGACGCAUGGGAGAACAGAGGGACCAGGCCGGGCGCGGUGGCUCACACCUGUCAUCCCAGCACUUUGGGAGGCCGAGGCGGGUGGGUCAUCUGAGGUCAGGAGUUCAAGACCAGACUGGCCAACAUGGUGAAACCCCGUCUCUACUAAAAAUACAAAAAUUAGCCGGGCAUGGUGGCGCAUGCCUGCAAUCCCAGCUACUCAGGAGGUUGAGACAGGAGAAUCACUUGAACCUGGGAGGUGGAGGUUGCAGUGAGCUGAGAUUGCGCCGCUGCACUCCAGCCUGGGCAACAGAGUGAGACUCCGUCUCAAAAAAAAAAAAAAGAAAAACAAAAACAAAACAAACAAAAAAAAACAGAGGGACCAAAGAACUGGGGUCCCAGAUAGAAAAAAAUCUAAAGGGCAGGAAGGGGACCCCUGUAUCUGCAUCCUGGUCUAUCUCCUGGGGGAAGUUCUUAGAGGCCAAUGGAGUGUAGGUCCACUAGGGAAAGGUGACAGAGGUGUGAACAGACAGACCCUCUGUCCUGCUGACCACUUGACCCUGGAGAGGGGUGAUAUGGAAGGUCGGGGCAGUGGGAGCUCUCUAGCGGCUGCUGAUGGCUCUGUCUCCCUAGGCGGAAGGCAGGUGGCCGCCGCCGGAGCAAUGGUGCAAACAGCUCUUCUCCAGUGUGGUCCCCGUGCUGCUGGGGGACCCAGAGGAGGAGCCGGGUGGGCGGCAGCUCCUGGACCUCAAUUGCUUUUUGUCCGACAUCUCGGACACUCUCUUCACCAUGACUCAGUCCAGCCCUUCGCCCCUGCAGCUGCCGCCUGAGGAUGCCUACGUCGGCAAUGCUGACAUGAUCCAGCCGGACCUGACGCCACUGCAGCCAAGCCUGGAUGACUUCAUGGACAUCUCAGAUUUCUUUACCAACUCCCGCCCCCCACAGCCGCCCAUGCCUUCAAACUUCCCAGAGCCCCCCAGCUUCAGCCCCGUGGUUGACUCCCUCUUCAGCAGUGGGACCCUGGGCCCGGAGGUGCCCCCAGCUCCCUCGGCCAUGACCCACCUCUCCGGACACAGCCGUCUGCAGGCUCGGAACAGCUGCCCUGGCCCCUUGGACUCCAGCGCCUUCCUGAGUUCUGAUUUCCUCCUUCCUGAAGACCCCAAGCCCCGGCUCCCACCCCCUCCUGUACCCCACCUCUGCUGCAUUACCCUCCCCUGCCAAGGUGCCAAGCCUGGAGCCCUGCCCCCAACCUCCCUUCCCACCCAUGGCGCCACCCACUGCUUUGCUGCAGGAAGAGCCUCUCUUCUCUCCCAGGUUUCCCUUCCCCACCGUCCCUCCUGCCCCAGGAGUGUCUCCGCUGCCUGCUCCUGCAGCCUUCCCACCCACCCCGCAGUCAGUCCCCAGCCCGGCCCCCACCCCCUUCCCCAUAGAGCUUCUACCCUCGGGGUAUUCGGAGCCUGCCUUUGGGCCUUGCUUCUCCAUGCCCAGAGGCAAGCCCCCCGCCCCAUCCCCUAGGGGACAGAAAGCCAGCCCCCCUACCUUAGCCCCUGCCACUGCCAGUCCCCCCACCACUGCGGGAAGCAACAACCCCUGCCUCACACAGCUGCUCACGGCAGCCAAGCCGGAGCAAGCCCUGGAGCCACCACUUGUAUCCAGCACCCUCCUCCGGUCCCCAGGGUCCCCGGUAAGAUCUCAGGCACUGGGCGGUGGGGCUGUGCUCACGGCCUUCACCCCGACUCUCUGCCCUUCUCCACCCCAGCAGGAGACAGUCCCUGAAUUCCCCUGCACAUUCCUUCCCCCGACCCCAGCCCCUACACCACCCCGGCCACCUCCAGGCCC